GAUGAACGCUGGCGGCGUGCCUAAAACAUGCAAGUCGAGCGGUAAGGCCUCUUCGGAGGUACACGAGCGGCGGACGGGUGAGUAACACGUGGGAAUCUACCCCAAACUGAGGGAUAAGCACCGGAAACGGUGUCUAAUACCGCAUAUGGUCUUCGGAUUAAAGCUUCGGCGGUUUGGGAAGAGCCCGCGUAAGAUUAGCUAGUUGGUGAGGUAAAGGCUUACCAAGGCGACGAUCUUUAGCUGGUUUGAGAGGAUGAUCAGCCACACUGGAACUGAGACACGGUCCAGACUCCUACGGGAGGCAGCAGUUAGGAAUUUUCCACAAUGGGCGAAAGCCUGAUGGAGCAACGCCGCGUGCAGGAUGAAGGUUUUCGGAUUGUAAACUGCUUUUAUGUGCGAAGAAUAUGACGGUAACACAUGAAUAAGGAUCGGCUAACUCCGUGCCAGCCGCCGCAGUAA
rnacentral:rRNA from 1 species